rnacentral:lncRNA from 1 species
ACCAAUAAUUAAAGUUAUUCAAGGGAUAGUUAGUUACUCGGCAUCCAAACAUAAACAAUAGUACGACCCGGAUGGCUUGGCGGAGAGGAUUCUGCAAGGAUUCGAGGGGCCAAUAAGGACUUUUCUUUCGAUCACUAUUGUUUAUGAUAUGCAGAAGGGCUGUGAUUAGAAGUCAGACCUCUCCAAUUCAUAGUUGUCAUGACGAUAGUAAUUCAAUGGGCUCUAUGUAAAAUUAUCAGCAUUCCUGCGAACGUAUAUUUAGUUCCAUAUCGAUUAUUCGCUAAAUAAAUCUUGAGUACUACUUAUAUAAAAAGCUCAAAAAAUUAUAUUCCAGCUAGUCUUUUUGGAUAAAAUCCUAAAUUAUUAUAAAAUACAAGGAUACAAACAAUAACCAUAUGAAAUUGGAUCGCAUAUCAUUGCACCAAUCAUGGACACAGCUACAAUUGGAGCUCAACUGGCUCAUUAAUUUUAUUGAGAACAGCCUGUUUAGAAGAGCUAAUAAGGAUUUAAGAUCAUCU